rnacentral:misc_RNA from 1 species
AAUAUCCUUUGGCACUACAGAUCUUAUAAUUGUUUUAUACAUAUAUAUAAAGCGAAAAGGAUAGAUUCCAUUGUUAAAAUUACAAUAAAGACCCAAUUUUUGAAAUUACAAUAAAGACCCAGCAACUUAAAAUAUUGGUUUAUUGGACUUUUCUUUAAAAAUAUCUUUCAUAGUUUAGCUAGGAUGUUAUUAUGGACAUGAACUGGAAUUAAAAUAGUUAAUGGUGGGAGACUUGGUUGCUUAAUACUGUAUGGCGGUAUCCAACAAAGGAUAUUACAAUAAAAAUAAAUGCAG